CCGAUGACAGGUCUAGAGAUAGAUUUUCCCUUUUAGGGCAUCGGAUACAGGUGGUGCAUGGUUGUCGUCAGCUCGUGUCGUGAGAUGUUGGGUUAACGUCCGCAACGAGCGCAACCCCUAUUGUUAGUUGCCAUCAUUAAGUUGGGCACUCUAGCGAGACUGCCAGUAAUAAACUGGAGGAAGGUGGGGAUGACGUCAAAUAAUCACGCCCCUUAUGACCUGGGCUACACACGUGCUACAAUGGGAAGUACAACGAGUUGCGAGGCGGUGACGCCAAGCUAAUCUCUUAAAGCUUCUCUCAGUUCGGAUUGUAGGCUGCAACUCGCCUACAUGAAGUCGGAAUCGCUAGUAAUCGCGGAUCAGCACGCCGCGGUGAAUACGUUCCCGGGCCUUGUACACACCGCCCGUCACACCACGAGAGUUUGUAACACCCGAAGUCGGUGAGGUAACCGUAAGGAGCCAACCGCCUAAGGUGGGAUAGAUGAUUGGGGUGAAGUCGUAACAAGGUAGGCGUAGAUGA
rnacentral:rRNA from 1 species